rnacentral:rRNA from 1 species
UUAAGCGACUAAGCGUACACGGUGGAUGCCCUGGCAGUCAGAGGCGAUGAAGGACGUGCUAAUCUGCGAUAAGCGUCGGUAAGGUGAUAUGAACCGUUAUAACCGGCGAUUUCCGAAUGGGGAAACCCAGUGUGAUUCGUCACACUAUCAUUAACUGAAUCCAUAGGUUAAUGAGGCGAACCGGGGGAACUGAAACAUCUAAGUACCCCGAGGAAAAGAAAUCAACCGAGAUUCCCCCAGUAGCGGCGAGCGAACGGGGAGGAGCCCAGAGCCUGAAUCAGUGUGUGUGUUAGUGGAAGCGUCUGGAAAGGCGCGCGAUACAGGGUGACAGCCCCGUACACAAAAAUGCACAUGCUGUGAGCUCGAUGAGUAGGGCGGGACACGUGGUAUCCUGUCUGAAUAUGGGGGGACCAUCCUCCAAGGCUAAAUACUCCUGACUGACCGAUAGUGAACCAGUACCGUGAGGGAAAGGCGAAAAGAACCCCGGCGAGGGGAGUGAAAAAGAACCUGAAACCGUGUACGUACAAGCAGUGGGAGCCUCUUUAUGGGGUGACUGCGUACCUUUUGUAUAAUGGGUCAGCGACUUAUAUUCUGUAGCAAGGUUAACCGAAUAGGGGAGCCGAAGGGAAACCGAGUCUUAACUGGGCGUUAAGUUGCAGGGUAUAGACCCGAAACCCGGUGAUCUAGCCAUGGGCAGGUUGAAGGUUGGGUAACACUAACUGGAGGACCGAACCGACUAAUGUUGAAAAAUUAGCGGAUGACUUGUGGCUGGGGGUGAAAGGCCAAUCAAACCGGGAGAUAGCUGGUUCUCCCCGAAAGCUAUUUAGGUAGCGCCUCGUGAAUUCAUCUCCGGGGGUAGAGCACUGUUUCGGCAAGGGGGUCAUCCCGACUUACCAACCCGAUGCAAACUGCGAAUACCGGAGAAUGUUAUCACGGGAGACACACGGCGGGUGCUAACGUCCGUCGUGAAGAGGGAAACAACCCAGACCGCCAGCUAAGGUCCCAAAGUCAUGGUUAAGUGGGAAACGAUGUGGGAAGGCCCAGACAGCCAGGAUGUUGGCUUAGAAGCAGCCAUCAUUUAAAGAAAGCGUAAUAGCUCACUGGUCGAGUCGGCCUGCGCGGAAGAUGUAACGGGGCUAAACCAUGCACCGAAGCUGCGGCAGCGACGCUUAUGCGUUGUUGGGUAGGGGAGCGUUCUGUAAGCCUGCGAAGGUGUACUGUGAGGUAUGCUGGAGGUAUCAGAAGUGCGAAUGCUGACAUAAGUAACGAUAAAGCGGGUGAAAAGCCCGCUCGCCGGAAGACCAAGGGUUCCUGUCCAACGUUAAUCGGGGCAGGGUGAGUCGACCCCUAAGGCGAGGCCGAAAGGCGUAGUCGAUGGGAAACAGGUUAAUAUUCCUGUACUUGGUGUUACUGCGAAGGGGGGACGGAGAAGGCUAUGUUGGCCGGGCGACGGUUGUCCCGGUUUAAGCGUGUAGGCUGGAUUUUCCAGGCAAAUCCGGAAAAUCAAGGCUGAGGCGUGAUGACGAGGCACUACGGUGCUGAAGCAACAAAUGCCCUGCUUCCAGGAAAAGCCUCUAAGCAUCAGGUAACAUCAAAUCGUACCCCAAACCGACACAGGUGGUCAGGUAGAGAAUACCAAGGCGCUUGAGAGAACUCGGGUGAAGGAACUAGGCAAAAUGGUGCCGUAACUUCGGGAGAAGGCACGCUGAUACGUAGGUGAAGUCCCUUGCGGAUGGAGCUGAAAUCAGUCGAAGAUACCAGCUGGCUGCAACUGUUUAUUAAAAACACAGCACUGUGCAAACACGAAAGUGGACGUAUACGGUGUGACGCCUGCCCGGUGCCGGAAGGUUAAUUGAUGGGGUUAGCGGUAACGCGAAGCUCUUGAUCGAAGCCCCGGUAAACGGCGGCCGUAACUAUAACGGUCCUAAGGUAGCGAAAUUCCUUGUCGGGUAAGUUCCGACCUGCACGAAUGGCGUAAUGAUGGCCAGGCUGUCUCCACCCGAGACUCAGUGAAAUUGAACUCGCUGUGAAGAUGCAGUGUACCCGCGGCAAGACGGAAAGACCCCGUGAACCUUUACUAUAGCUUGACACUGAACAUUGAGCCUUGAUGUGUAGGAUAGGUGGGAGGCUUUGAAGUGUGGACGCCAGUCUGCAUGGAGCCGACCUUGAAAUACCACCCUUUAAUGUUUGAUGUUCUAACGUUGGCCCCUAAUCGGGGUUGCGGACAGUGUCUGGUGGGUAGUUUGACUGGGGCGGUCUCCUCCUAAAGAGUAACGGAGGAGCACGAAGGUUGGCUAAUCCUGGUCGGACAUCAGGAGGUUAGUGCAAUGGCAUAAGCCAGCUUGACUGCGAGCGUGACGGCGCGAGCAGGUGCGAAAGCAGGUCAUAGUGAUCCGGUGGUUCUGAAUGGAAGGGCCAUCGCUCAACGGAUAAAAGGUACUCCGGGGAUAACAGGCUGAUACCGCCCAAGAGUUCAUAUCGACGGCGGUGUUUGGCACCUCGAUGUCGGCUCAUCACAUCCUGGGGCUGAAGUAGGUCCCAAGGGUAUGGCUGUUCGCCAUUUAAAGUGGUACGCGAGCUGGGUUUAGAACGUCGUGAGACAGUUCGGUCCCUAUCUGCCGUGGGCGCUGGAGAACUGAGGGGGGCUGCUCCUAGUACGAGAGGACCGGAGUGGACGCAUCACUGGUGUUCGGGUUGUCAUGCCAAUGGCACUGCCCGGUAGCUAAAUGCGGAAGAGAUAAGUGCUGAAAGCAUCUAAGCACGAAACUUGCCCCGAGAUGAGUUCUCCCUGACUCCUUGAGAGUCCUGAAGGAACGUUGAAGACGACGACGUUGAUAGGCCGGGUGUGUAAGCGCAGCGAUGCGUUGAGCUAACCGGUACUAAUGAACCGUGAGGCUUAACCUU